AACAAACACAUUAUAAAAUUUAAGAAGUUAUUACUUACAAAAGGAGGUUUGAAAAAUGGAAAUGCUACCGACCGUUCCUAAAGUAAGUGGCAAAGGAUUUGGUGAUUACUUACAAAAGGAGGUUUGAAAAAUGGAAAUGCUACCAACCGUUCCUAAAGUAAGUGGCAAAGGAUUUGGUGAUUAGUAUUCGAGAUUCCAAGUUCGAAUUCUAAUUGAUUCACAUUUUCAGCUACGUUUAUUUCUAAAUAAAAUAAACGAAACGGAUAACGUGUUACCUAUCUCUCAAAAAAAGAAAAAGAAAAAUGGAAAUGCUCAAGGAUUAAGUAGAAGUAAAUACUUAUAAUGA
rnacentral:lncRNA from 1 species